UCUGGGUGUAGCUGAAGGGAUUUACUGAAGAAAGAAGACUCACCCUUGUCCGGCUUGUCACUUGGAUGGUAUAAAAGGGAAACAAAGAAGAAGGUUCCACCUCUGUUUCUUCGGAGGAGCUCCAAUCUCCACCUUCACCUUGGAUAUCAUCUCGUGGCUUCCAGUCAGACUGUUCAGCCUCCAGCACAGAUCCUUCAGCCUUCCAGCACUGGCCAUUUGUCCUCCUGCUACAGAAUCACAUGGGACACUACAGUGAGCUGUUGGCCAUUGACUUGAUCCUUCAGAUUUCUAACUUGCAGACAGACCUUUUGUUCCACACUGACUCCAUGGGCAGCUAUUAUGUGAUCCCAGCAGAUGACCAAGUACCACAUCCACCAGUCUUCUUGAUGACAUUCUUCAGGAGCUCAUCACUACUGCUAAAACUUAUCAGAGCCUUGUAUAAUUUCUGUCACAUUGUUUCAUCACUCCCUUCCCUGCAGCCUCUCUCUUCAAGGCCUCUUCUCCCUAAAACAGAUCCUACCUUAGAGUCUGUCUUUUCCCAAAAUAGAGAGAGUACAAAAAUA